AAAGCUAGUUAGAGAUUAGAAUGUUUCUAGCUUUGUAACAAGCUCUUGAAUAAAUAUAGUUUUGAAUUUUAUUGAUCAUCCUUCAAAGUCCACUUAGCAGUACACUAGUGUGUCCAAAACUCAAACUCAUUCUCAUUGGACCACAAACUUAUAAAGAUGAACAAACCCAUAACAAUAAUUUCAUUACAUCCAUUUUAUAUAUGUCCUUAUGCUCCACCAUACCAUCAGAUCAACAACUAUAUAUGAUAGCUGAGACAAACAAAUGUAGUGAAAGAAUUAGUCAUAAGAAAAAAACCAGUGACUUUAUGGUCACCACACCCCUUCCUAACAUCCCUUCUUCUCACUGCCGAUCAUCGUCAAACCUUCUCCGGCCAACGUCUCAAUGUUAUCCGGUGACUUUAUGGUCACCACACCUCCGCGAUUCUCUCUCACCGCAUGUCUGUUCCUCGACAACAAAACCUAAGGUUUCUUCUCGGACUCGUUCUGCUCAUGACGGCGUCAUUGCUCUCUCACGACGUUGUCGAAAACACGAGCCACUCUCCGGCGAGAAUCUCGACGUCUUUCUUGUCGCCUAUCUCUGAACACCACUAGAGCUCACGACAAGCUUUCUCUGCCAAACCCAGAUUUCAACAGAAAUCUUACAUCUUCUUCUCUUUUCAACUUCAGCGAAUCUAUGUCUCUAAACGAGCAUAGCAUUCCAUCUUCCUUGA